AGUGAACGCUGGCGGUAGGCCUAACACAUGCAAGUCGAACGGCAGCACAGUAAGAGCUUGCUCUUACGGGUGGCGAGUGGCGGACGGGUGAGGAAUACAUCGGAAUCUACUUUUUCGUGGGGGAUAACGUAGGGAAACUUACGCUAAUACCGCAUACGACCUACGGGUGAAAGCAGGGGAUCUUCGGACCUUGCGCGAUUGAAUGAGCCGAUGUCGGAUUAGCUAGUUGGCGGGGUAAAGGCCCACCAAGGCGACGAUCCGUAGCUGGUCUGAGAGGAUGAUCACCCCCACUGGAACUGAGACACGGUCCAGACCCCUACGGGAGGCAGCAGUGGGGAAUUUUGGACAAGGGGCGCAACCCUUCUCCACCCAUCCCGCGGGGGUGAAGAAGGCCUUCGGUUUGUAAAGCCUUUUUGUGGGGAAAAAAAAGCAGCAGGUUAAUCCCCCGUUUUUCUGACGGUCCCAAAAGAAAAACCCCCGGCUAACUUCGUC
rnacentral:rRNA from 1 species